AGCUAGAAUAACAACAUAAGACCAGAAGACCCUGUGAAGCUUAAAUCAAACUAUUAAACCAUAUAAUAACUAUUUUCGGUUGGGGCGACCUUGGAAAAAAAAAGAACUUCCAAGACCCAGCACAGCURAUAAUUGAACCAAGUUACUCCGGGGAUAACAGCGCAAUCUUCUUCAAGAGUCCAUAUCAAAAAGAAGGUUUACGACCUCGAUGUUGGAUCAGGACAUCCUAAUGGUGCAGCCGCUAUUAAGGGUUCGUUUGUUCAACGAUUAACAGUCCUACGUGAUCUGA
rnacentral:rRNA from 1 species